GUGGGGAAUCUUGCGCAAUGGGCGAAAGCCUGACGCAGCCAUACCGCGUGAAUGAUGAAGGUCUUAGGAUUGUAAAAUUCUUUCACCGGGGACGAUAAUGACGGUACCCGGAGAAGAAGCUCCGGCUAACUUCGUGCCAGCAGCCGCGGUAAUACGAAGGGGGCUAGCGUUGCUCGGAAUUACUGGGCGUAAAGGGCGCGUAGGCGGACAGCUUAGUCAGAGGUGAAAGCCCAGGGCUCAACCUUGGAAUUGCCUUUGAUACUGGCUGUCUUGAGUUUGGGAGAGGUGAGUGGAACUCCGAGUGUAGAGGUGAAAUUCGUAGAUAUUCGGAAGAACACCAGUGGCGAAGGCGACUCACUGGCCCAAUACUGACGCUGAGGCGCGAAAGCGUGGGGAGCAAACAGGAUUAGAAACCCGGGUAGUCC
rnacentral:rRNA from 1 species